rnacentral:lncRNA from 10 species
AAGCUGUGAAGCCCAUGAUUGAUAUGAAGUUAGCAUGUAAAACAGAUGAAAAUGAUAGAAUGGAGGUGGGAGUGUGUGUCCCAGAGCCCUCUUUUUGAGACCAUUCACCAUUUUCCAAGGAGCUGUAGGUGUUGGAAACCAAUGAAUCUUGUAGCCGGGAGUUAGAAGACCAUAUCUGCCUCUUGAUUGAAUUGUUCUACUAGCAGCAUGAAGGGGGACAGAUGAUUUCUGCUGAAGAUUGUGAGUUUAUUCAGAGGUUUGAAAUGAAACGAAGCCCUGAAGAGAAGCAAGAGAUGCUUCAAACUGAAGGCAGCCAGGUGAUGAAUAAACAUUAUAUAAUGAACACUUCCCCGUGUCAUCCAAAAGUUUAGAAAAAUCUUAGUGAUUAUAAGUGACUUCCAGUUUUCUUGCUAAUUUGGAAAGAACGUUAUAUUGA